rnacentral:rRNA from 1 species
AGUGAACGCUGGCGGUAGGCCUAACACAUGCAAGUCGAACGGCAGCACAGUAAGAGCUUGCUCUUACGGGUGGCGAGUGGCGGACGGGUGAGGAAUACAUCGGAAUCUACUUUUUCGUGGGGGAUAACGUAGGGAAACUUACGCUAAUACCGCAUACGACCUACGGGUGAAAGCAGGGGAUCUUCGGACCUUGCGCGAUUGAAUGAGCCGAUGUCGGAUUAGCUAGUUGGCGGGGUAAAGGCCCACCAAGGCGACGAUCCGUAGCUGGUCUGAGAGGAUGAUCAGCCACACUGGAACUGAGACACGGUCCAGACUCCUACGGGAGGCAGCAUUGGGGAAUAUUGGACAAUGGGCGCAAGCCUGAUCCGGCCAUACCGCGUGGGUGAAGAAGGCCUUCGGGUUGUAAAGCCCUUUUGUUGGGAAAGAAAAGCAGCAGGUUAAUACCCCGCUGUUCUGACGGUACCCAAAGAAUAAGCACCGGCUAACUUCGUG